UUUCAAAGGAACGCAUGCAGCAAAUUAGGCCAUGGUGGCGCCUAGUUCUCCUGCAGAACUUUCCCAUGCCGUCUGAAGAAGAGAGGUUGAAAGAUCGAAAAAGGUGGCGAAAACAAAACACACUACAGGAUGAUGUAGAAGACGCAGCAUGUCACAUCAGCAUCCAGCUCUGCAGGAUCAGG